rnacentral:rRNA from 1 species
UACGGGGGGGGGGCAAGCGUUGUUCGGAAUUACUGGGCGUAAAGGGCGCGUAGGCGGUUCAUUAAGUUGGAUGUGAAAACUCUGGGCUUAACUCAGAGCCUGCAUUCAAAACUGAUGGGCUGGGAGUUCUGGAGGGGAUAGCGGAAUUCCUGGUGUAGCGGUGAAAUGCGCAGAUAUCAGGAGGAACACCGGUGGCGAAGGCGGGUCUCUGGGCAGUAACUGACGCUGAGGAGCGAAAGCGUGGGGAGCGAACAGG